rnacentral:rRNA from 1 species
CGCAUGGUAGGAGAGCGUUCCGUAAGCCUGCGAAGGUGCCUUGUAAAGGGUGCUGGAGGUAUCGGAAGUGCGAAUGCUGACAUGAGUAGCGAUAAAGGGGGUGAAAGGCCCCCUCGCCGUAAGCCCAAGGUUUCCUACGCAACGUUCAUCGGCGUAGGGUGAGUCGGCCCCUAAGGCGAGGCAGAAAUGCGUAGCUGAUGGGAAGCAGGUCAAUAUUCCUGCACCAUUGUUAGAUGCGAUGGGGGGACGGAUCGCGGAAGGUUGUCCGGGUGUUGGAAGUCCCGGUCGCUGCAUUGGAGAAGGCACUUAGGCAAAUCCGGGUGCGUAAUUCAAGGGUGUGGCGCGAGCUUCUUCGGAAGCGAAGCAAUUGGAAGUGGUUCCAAGAAAAGCCUCUAAGCUUCAGUCUAACGAUGACCGUACCGCAAACCGACACAGGUGGGCGAGAUGAGUAUUCUAAGGCGCUUGAGAGAACUCGGGAGAAGGAACUCGGCAAAUUGGUACCGUAACUUCGGGAUAAGGUACGCCCUUGUAGCUUGACUGGCCUGCGCCAGGAGGGUGAAGGGGUUGCAAUAAACUGGUGGCUGCGACUGUUUAAUAAAAACACAGCACUCUGCAAACACGAAAGUGGACGUAUAGGGUGUGACGCCUGCCCGGUGCCGGAAGAUUAAAUGAUGGGGUGCAAGCUCUUGAUUGAAGUCCCGGUAAACGGCGGCCGUAACUAUAACGGUCCUAAGGUAGCGAAAUUCCUUGUCGGGUAAGUUCCGACCUGCACGAAUGGCGUAACGAUGGCCACACUGUCUCCUCCCGAGACUCAGCGAAGUUGAAGUGUUUGUGAUGAUGCAAUCUACCCGCGGCUAGACGGAAAGACCCCAUGAACCUUUACUGUAGCUUUGCAUUGGACUUUGAACCGAUCUGUGUAGGAUAGGUGGGAGGCUAUGAAACCGGAACGCUAGUUUCGGUGGAGCCGUCCUUGAAAUACCACCCUGGUUUGUUUGAGGUUCUAACCUUGGCCCGUGAUCCGGGUCGGGGACAGUGCAUGGUAGGCAGUUUGACUGGGGCGGUCUCCUCCCAAAGCGUAACGGAGGAGUACGAAGGUACGCUAGGUACGGUCGGAAAUCGUGCUGAUAGUGCAAUGGCAUAAGCGUGCUUAACUGCGAGACCGACAAGUCGAGCAGGUGCGAAAGCAGGUCAUAGUGAUCCGGUGGUUCUGUAUGGAAGGGCCAUCGCUCAACGGAUAAAAGGUACUCUGGGGAUAACAGGCUGAUACCGCCCAAGAGUUCAUAUCGACGGCGGUGUUUGGCACCUCGAUGUCGGCUCAUCUCAUCCUGGGGCUGUAGCCGGUCCCAAGGGUAUGGCUGUUCGCCAUUUAAAGAGGUACGUGAGCUGGGUUUAAAACGUCGUGAGACAGUUUGGUCCCUAUCUGCCGUGGGCGUUGGAUAUUUGAAGGGGGCUGCUCCUAGUACGAGAGGACCGGAGUGGACGAACCUCUGGUGUACCGGUUGUCACGCCAGUGGCAUCGCCGGGUAGCUAUGUUCGGAAGAGAUAACCGCUGAAAGCAUCUAAGCGGGAAACUCGCCUUAAGAUGAGAUAUCCCUGGGGACUAGAUCCCCUUGAAGGGUCGUUCGAGACCAGGACGUUGAUAGGUCAGGUGUGUAAGCGCAGUAAUGCGUUCAGCUAACUGAUACUAAUUGCCCGUAAGGCUUGAUCCU